ACUCCUACGGGUGGCUGCAGUGGGGAAUAUUGGACAAUGGGCGAAAGCCUGAUCCAGCCAUGCCGCGUGUGUGAAGAAGGCCUUUUGGUUGUAAAGCACUUUAAGUGGGGAGGAAAAGCUUAUGGUUAAUACCCAUAAGCCCUGACGUUACCCACAGAAUAAGCACCGGCUAACUCUGUGCCAGCAGCCGCGGUAAUACAGAGGGUGCAAGCGUUAAUCGGAAUUACUGGGCGUAAAGCGCGCGUAGGUGGUUAUUUAAGUCAGAUGUGAAAGCCCCGGGCUUAACCUGGGAACUGCAUCUGAUACUGGAUAACUAGAGUAGGUGAGAGGGGAGUAGAAUUCCAGGUGUAGCGGUGAAAUGCGUAGAGAUCUGGAGGAAUACCGAUGGCGAAGGCAGCUCCCUGGCAUCAUACUGACACUGAGGUGCGAAAGCGUGGGUAGCAAACAGGAUUAGAUACCCUGGUAGUCCACGCCGUAAACGAUGUCUACCAGUCGUUGGGUCUUUUAAAGACUUAGUGACGCAGUUAACGCAAUAAGUAGACCGCCUGGGGAGUACGGCCGCAAGGUUAAAACUCAAAUGAAUUGACGGGGGCCCGCACAAGCGGUGGAGCAUGUGGUUUAAUUCGAUGCAACGCGAAGAACCUUACCUGGUCUUGACAUAGUGAGAAUCUUGCAGAGAUGCGAGAGUGCCUUCGGGAAUUCACAUACAGGUGAUGCAUGGCUGUCGUCAGCUCG
rnacentral:rRNA from 1 species